rnacentral:lncRNA from 1 species
CCUCAACAUAUGUAUUCUACUAUGUUUUGAUUCUUUGAAUUUCCUUUUAAUGCUUUGAAGUUUUUGAACUGAAUUUUUUUUGGUUUUUAGAGGGAAAAUCUGUCAAUUUGUUCUUGAGUAGGAUUCAGCUAAUCUCCAAAUAUCCCUUGAAUAGAUUCUGGAGAUUACUCCAUUAGGAGCCCCAAAAGAGAGAUAAUGAGCCUCGAGGUACCGAAUCCACUAAGAACGAAUUUAUGUGUUUUAAGAGUUUAUCUUUUUAUUGAUUUCCAUUGAUUCCUUUUACAUAUUUUAUGCAUAUUUUUCCCCCUUUAUUUUUCCCCCUUUUACAUAUUUUAUACAUAUUUCUCCCCCUUUUUGUCAUCAUAUCAAAAAGGAGGUAAUCAAAACACACAAUCAAACAUAGAUCAAAAGGCAC